CCAGCCGGCCGGGCGGCCGCGCCCGCUGAUGCCGAAAGGCUGCGGGUGAGGAAAGUCCGGGCUCCAUGGAAACACGGUGCCGGCUAACGGCCGGCGGGGGCAACCCCAGGGAAAGUGCCACAGAAAGCAGACCGCCACGCUUGCGUGGUAAGGGUGAAAGGGUGGGGUAAGAGCCCACCGCGCGACCGGCAACGGGAGCGGCACGGCAAACCCCACCGGGAGCAAGACCGAAUAGGGGCGGCGCGAGGGGCAACUCUCGGGGCUGUUUCCGGCCCAGCCGCCCGGGUAGGUUGCGUGAGGCGUGCAGCAAUGCGCGUCCAAGAUGAAUGGCCGCCACGUCGCUGCCCAUUGGGCAGGGGCCAUACAGAACCCGGCUUACAGGCCGGCUGGCGCU
rnacentral:RNase_P_RNA from 1 species